AUUGAACGCUGGCGGAAUGCUUUACACAUGCAAGUCGAGCGGCAGCGCGGGGCAACCUGGCGGCGAGCGGCGAACGGGUGAGUAAUGCAUCGGAACGUACCCAGUCGUGGGGGAUAACUGUCCGAAAGGACAGCUAAUACCGCAUACGUCCUGAGGGAGAAAGCGGGGGAUCGCAAGACCUCGCGCGACUGGAGCGGCCGAUGCCGGAUUAGCUAGUUGGUAGGGUAAAGGCCUACCAAGGCGACGAUCCGUAGCUGGUCUGAGAGGACGACCAGCCACACUGGAACUGAGACACGGUCCAGACUCCUACGGGAGGCAGCAGUGGGGAAUCUUGCGCAAUGGGAGCAAUCCUGACGCAGCAACGCCGCGUGGGUGAUGAAGGUCUUCGGAUCGUAAAGCCCUGUCGGAGGGGAAGAUGCUUGGAACGUCUAAUAGAUGAGCCAGGUGACGGUACCCUCAAAGGAAGCACCGGCUAACU
rnacentral:rRNA from 1 species